UGGAGGUUAAGAAAGUCCCACCUCCAGUAUCUCCCAAGCCGAGUCCGCCUCCUACACUGCCCAAACCGGUAAAAAUCAAACUAAUCCAUACAAUCGGAACUCCUGGCUCUCUUCAGGCAGAUGUUCUCAGCCCAUCCAGUGCCUCCUUCAGCCAAGCUCCAUCUGAGCAACUGGAGCAUCCUCCACAGACUAUGAGUCCAGUCACCCCAAAAACCAGUGGAUGGGAGCAUGCUUUCCCCACGUUCAGCAACGUCUCCAGAGCCCACAGACUCCUCAGACACCUCAAACCCCACAAACACCUUCUACACCAGGUUCAGGAUCAGCUCCAGUGAAGCCCCCGAGGUCUUCCAUGGCUGGUCUCUCAGUGGACAUCCCAAGCCCUCUGGAAGUAGAACUGCCUGGAGUGGAUGUGCAAAGGAAGCUAAGAGAAGUAGAGAAACAAAGAGAGGAAGAUGACGGUAGAAGGGAUGAAAGAGUAGAGGAAGUUGGAAUUGCUAGAAUGGAAAGGACAGGUCUGAUCCAGGUGGAUCAAAUGUUUCAAGGUGAACAAGGCCUGAUUUCAGAUACAGGGGAAGGAGGAGGACCAGUGGUAAUGAGAAGGAGAAAGGUAGGUGUAGCUAGACAGACACAAGUAGAGGGUGAACCACAAGAUGGAGAAGGAAAGACAGAGGUGGAAAGCCAAGGGUUACUGAAGGUUGCUGAAACAGGGGGAUCUGCUUCGGGGGACAUGGUACAACUCAGACUGGAGGAGACCAGUGCAUCCCUGGCUGCUGCUCUGGAAGUAGUAGAGGAAAAGAUUAAGAAGGAUGACAGCUCCAUUGUGGACAACAAGAGCACAGUCAACAUUCUCGAUGACAUUGGCAGCAUGUUUGAUGAUCUUGCGGAUCAGUUGGAGGCCAUGUUAGAUUAAAAACCCAAAGGUAUACCAGAUUCCACAGGGAGUGUGACACACUUAAGCUUCUUGAUGUUUCUCAGUGAGGACCACCAGGAUGCCAUCUCAGCAGGAUUGGAAACUCAAUAGGGCAAAUGAAUCUCUUCCAUUGCGACAUGUUUAAAAGUCAAACUACAACUGAGCAUCUCUAAGAAAAAGCCUAAUUGUUGACUAAUGUUUUUCUCAAAUCCCUUUCAUUCUCCCCCAGCCUUUCCUCUAGUGGCCAGAGUAGGUAUUGCAAGUAUGUAUCCUGACCUGCUGUCAUGCUGCUUCCAGAUAUAAGCACAAAAUUAAGAGAGACUAUGUGACAAGCUUUCUAGAUAUUAUUUAAGCAGAGAAAUGCUAAUAUGUAUGUGUGUGUAUAUGUGUGUACUACACGUCGGGUGAGAGUUGAAUAUCGAUAAAUAUAUUUCUCUUGAUGGCAGUGGUAAGAGCAGUAAGGUAAGUCAUUUUCUCUUUUAUGAUGUUAGGAAGCUGUGUUGUUCUUUUCCACAUCUCUGCUGAGAGCUUGUUCACAUUGUAAAGGGGAACUUUGAAUUUCACCUUGUGGUCUUCAGUUAUGUGUGUUUGUUUGUGUGGUAGGAGGGGAGGUCAGUUUGAGAGUGAGAGAAUUAGGAAGUGUAUGUUUAUAGUUUUGGGAAAGAGACUGUAUGUUUGUCUUCUCUUACAAAAAAUGUGCCAUGUUUUUGGACAUGGUACCAUUUGAAGUAGCUUGGAUGACCAUGUUAAUUCUACAGUACAUGUAUAAAGUAAUCAUACAGUACUGUUGUAUUACCAUCUGAUACCAUAGGACCACCACAGUACUUUUUUUGUUGUAAGGGCUGAGUGUGUGUUAAUCUCUUGGACAGUGCAAUUAUUCCUGUUUUGUCAUGCAAACAAAAAAGGCUUGCUGACAGAAGUUGCAUAUUCUAUACAAGUGGAUAAAAUCAGAUAAUAUAAGACUAUGUCAUCACAAGAUGUAUACGACUACAGAGCAAUAUUUUUAUCCAUGCACCAUGUUAUUAAUUUUAGCUUUAUAAGUGAUAUUUAAAACCAGCCACCUGGGAUACAAGAGAACUGAACAUUUUCCGACAAUCAUGACAAUGUUGUCCUUGAUUAUGACCCUGCAAAGUCAAUAGAAAUAGAUGUUGGAAUAUGAAAUCUUUUACAGUGUGAAACUGUGUAAUAAUCAGUCGUUAUUUUGUGUAAACCUUCAGAUGGCAAAUGUGUUUGUCUGACCCUGGUGAAAAAAAAAAUCAUCAAAGAUCUCUUCCAUGUAAAAAGCAUUGCGAAUAUGUGGAAAUAAAUUAUGAAUAUAAUCACAGUUUUUUAAAUUGCCAUUUAUAUUUUGGUUUGAAUCAUAUUAAGGAAUGUUAUUAAACUUUUGAGAUAGUUUAUAAUAUGCAGUUUUUAGCAAUUCAUCUUAUACUGUAGUUAUUGCCUAUGUUGAAUUUACAUAGCAUUGGUCCUUUGUCAUACAAAUAAAAAAGUAUGAUAAACAAUGGGAGAAUCACAAUCGAUAGAAACCACAUCAGGUAAGUUUGGCCAAGCAAGAAUAUGUCAACCAGCCAUGAAAUAUUAGAACAACAACUCCCAUUGUUGUUGUAUUUUAUUUGUUUUCUAUCAUCUUGAAACAAUCCCAUUCAACAGGACACUAUAGUGCAUUUAUGUAAGUGAGUAUAGCAAAAUAAAGUCAACUGUGACAUAUUAAACCCUCAAAUUCCUCAUACAGUGGACUACCAGUAAAAUGAAUAAAAAAUUAGGGACCAAAAAUUAUUCAGACACUUUGACCUGACCAUGGUUUGCUUAAGUGUUUUUUUUUUUUUCUUUACUUUGUCUAAUUGCGUACCUUUUUACUACCUACCAAAACUGAACAAAAUUAAAACAUUGCUUGGUAAUUGGUCAACAAAGUAUUGAUAGUUGUGUUAAUAUUGUCAUACU
rnacentral:lncRNA from 1 species